GGCCUAUGUGGCGUCAGGUGGGAAUGAACUUUGGGGCCUAAUUGUCACAAAAACCUGGACUUUAGAAUCAGUCUGAGUUGAAAUCUUGGUCCCAACACUUGCCAGCUGUGUAACCUUAGACAAAAGAUGGCCUUCUGCAUACCAGCAAGUGGGCCCUUAUAAGACACCAAAUCUGCCAGCAUCUUGAUCUUGGACUUCCUAGCUUCCAGAACUGCCUUGCCCUGUGGCACGUGGGGUCUUAGUUCCCCUACCAAGGAUCAAACCUGCGCCCCCUGAAUUGGGAGUGUGGAGUCUUAACUACUGGACCGCCAGGGAAGUCCAAGUUUGUACUCUUUUGUGUAAGGUUUCUUUUGCUCAGCAUAAUACACUAUAGAUUUAUCCAGGUUGCUGCAUGUAUUAGUAGUUGGUUCCUUUUUCUUGCUGAGUAGUAUUCCAUUGUAUGAGUGGGCCAUAAUUUGCUUACCCAUUCUGUUGUUGAUAGACAUUUGGAUUGUCUCUAGUUUUUGGUUCUUAUGAAUUAAACUGUGCACAUUCAUGUACAAGUCCUUCUGUGGUCAAACGUUAUUUCCCUCCAGAGUUUUGAUUUACUGUCCUGCUUCACUGAGAAACUUCCCCACCAAAUUAGUAGGGAAGUUUCCCUCAGCUAGAAAGACAGAUGAGUUUUUUCUCCCAUGCAGUCACUAUUCAUACCCAAGAUAGAACUUUUCAUCUAUGCCCCUAAAUCUGCUCCUUCUGGAAUCUUCGCCACCUCAUUGUGUUGCUCCAGCCAGAAACCUGACUGCUCUCUUUGCUCACAUCGUUCAACCCAGCCAUCAGUAACCCCAUCAUGUGUGCCAUCAAAACACCUGACCACUUAUUUCCUCCAUGGCCACCAGCUGUUCUGGACCACCAUCACCUGUUACCUGGAACACUGCAGUAUCCUCUCCUCUGCCUUCACUCUAGUUUCUCUCUCCCACCCUCACCUCCCACCCCUGGGUGAUUCUUACCACAGAAGCCAGAGCAAGCCUUCAGAGGCUAAGUGAGAACAUGUUCUGCCUUCACCCGAAACCUUCCCAUGGCUCUCACCCCACUCUAAGCAAAAGCCACAGUUAUUACAAUGUAGACAUUGCAAUAACAAAGCCCUCAUGAUCUCCCCAUGCUACUUCUUUCCCAUCAUCCCCUUCCUUUUCUCCUUUACAGUCACACUGUGCUUAUUCCUUUAAUAUGUCAAGGAUGU